rnacentral:misc_RNA from 1 species
UCAACUAUCAAGCCUGGCUUGUUGUUGGACUUUGCGGCUGUAACUUGUGGCAGGUCCGAAAAAUAAUGACGGUGUCAUGUUUGACCCUAGAUGCAACGAGCUUUUUUAUAGCACGCAUUGAAGUGGUCGACUGAACUAGUCUUAACCAUCAAUUUCUAA